rnacentral:tRNA from 1 species
GGGGGUUUAGCUCAGUUGAUAGAGCGCCUGCUUUGCAAGCAUGAUGUCAGCGGUUCGAGUCCGCUAACCUCCA